rnacentral:lncRNA from 1 species
UGUAGGGUCUGGAGGCAGUCUGUUGGGCCGGUGUGUAUUUGUGCUGGCUCCGCCAGUCUUCCCCUCCACAGUUUUCUAUAGCGCUGGUUGUGUUUAUUCCAGGCUUCUUUCCAAUACGGUCCUAUAGGCGGAAUACACAUUUUCCAUAAGUCUCUCCCCUCCAAUAAACUUAGGCCAGGCAUAUAGGCGAUAGUGUCGGAGCUAUAGGUCCCCUAUCUCUGCAGUAAAUUCUUCAAAUUUAUCUAAAUUAAUUUUUUGACGACAUUUAUAUGUUGCAGAAUAAUCCAACUCUUAAUCCAGUCCACCUUGGCUCCGGUAUCUUCGCCGCUGUAUCCGGUACUUUUAGCUUUUUAACCUUACUACCAUCAGCGCCCAAAGCCGGUCGGAUCCCGAGUGGGAUCGGAUGGUCACCCGUGGUACUCGGGAUAGCCUUAAAUACAUUCUCGGGGGAAAAAGAAAUGUUUUCCUCGUUAAGCCCAGACCAAUGGUAACCGAGAAAGCGCUCUGGGUCUUCCUAUUUUUCCCAUUGGCUAUUGACUUUUGGGCAAAUUUUUCGUUUUACUUCUUAAGCGUUUUACAAAAAUAUCGGAAUUUCCCACUUCUGGCCAAACCUCCGACUUCCUCUCUAGGACUUUCC